GACGAGCGCUGGCGGCGUGCCUAAUACAUGCAAGUCGAGCGGACUUACAAAGCUUGCUUUUUAAGUUAGCGGCGGACGGGUGAGUAACACGUGGGCAACCUGCCUGUAAGACUGGGAUAACUUCGGGAAACCGGAGCUAAUACCGGAUAAUCCUUUUCUACUCAUGUAGAAAAGCUGAAAGACGGUUUACGCUGUCACUUACAGAUGGGCCCGCGGCGCAUUAGCUAGUUGGUGAGGUAACGGCUCACCAAGGCGACGAUGCGUAGCCGACCUGAGAGGGUGAUCGGCCACACUGGGACUGAGACACGGCCCAGACUCCUACGGGAGGCAGCAGUAGGGAAUCUUCCGCAAUGGACGAAAGUCUGACGGAGCAACGCCGCGUGAGUGAUGAAGGUUUUCGGAUCGUAAAACUCUGUUGUUAGGGAAGAACAAGUACGAGAGUAACUGCUCGUACCUUGACGGUACCUAACCAGAAAGCCACGGCUAACUACGUG
rnacentral:rRNA from 1 species